AGCUAUUUAGGGUCAGGGAGGCUGAGGUGUUCUCACUGCAUUUUCCUUCUUUCUUUUCACUUAUGCAUACUACUUUUUCUUCUUUGUUCUCAUUUAUGUAUCUUAGAUAUAGAUUCCUAGGUUCCUUGGUGUGUGCUUAUAGGUAGCAAUGUAAAAUGGACUUAAAAUAUGGCAGUGUUGUUUCUCUUUUAUAUGCUCCUCUGUUUUGAGGAUCUGAACUUUUUUAGUAUGAUAUCUGGGAAGUUUUGAAGCAAACUUCUGAUGGGAGUAGUAGGAAAAAAUCACUUAGUGAUCUUUAAUAUAUGCCUUAAAGACUUCAGUAAUGAGAUACCUUUAGAAGCAUUGGAACGUGAUAAAGAUACAGUGAGUGGGGUAGAAUGGGUAGUUCUAGCUAAGUUCUCUAUUCUCUUUCCCACAGAAAGAGGGUGAAAUUCUUGGAACUUGAAAGAAGUACUGUUAUUCUUUAAAGCUGCAGUACUUCUCAGUUCAUCACAACCUGGGUAGUCUCCAUGAACAAAGUGGAACAGGUGCUGCUGAAAAACAAAUGGAAGCUGGCAGCAGCUGAAGGCCUGUGGUGGUUGACCAAUCUGCUCUGAGCUGUUCCAGGAGCCUCCAGAGGACAAGAGGAAUGUGACAGUGCUCCUUCUGUUCUGGCUGUGAGAAACUGAAAGCACCGAAGUGAGUUUGCUUGGUGAGCAGCGGAGUCACCUCCUGGUCCUGAUAGGUGAGCUGGAUGAGACCAGGGUACAGACUAGAGAUCUUCAAUGCAGCCUGAGCAUCUCAUGUAAUGUCAAGACCUUAAGAGCAGAGGAAGGCACAUCAGAGUAUCAUGACAGAAAAAAAUGGAUGAGAAGAACCUUAAAACUGUGCCUGUAGAUCUGAUCAAUGGAUCUCUGUGAAGUCCUUGGAUUGACUCUGCUCUUGGUCUGCAGGAACUUAUUACAGGCAUGGAACUUCUUCGAUUGGUCUCCCCCCUGCUUGAGGAGGCUAGAAUGCUUUAUUUAUUUGAUGUCAUAUUUGGUUAUACAUGAAAAUAUUUCACUAUUUAUUUUUAUAGUUUUGCAACAAUAUGUUAUGGAGAAAGCAUUUCCCAUUUUCCAACAAACUCUCAGUCAGGGUUUAGUUAUCUGUUUAUUAUUAGUGAAUGUGUCCCAGAGUUUUGCUGAUAUGUUUGUUAUCAGUGCAUCAAAGCUUGAGUGAUAAAAUAAACUAAUGUGGUC
rnacentral:lncRNA from 7 species